rnacentral:tRNA from 1 species
GCUCCGGUCGUCUAGUCCGGCCAAGGACACCGGCCUCUCGAGCCGGAGACCCGGGUUCAAAUCCCGGCCGGAGCA